rnacentral:rRNA from 1 species
CACGGCGCACGGGUGCGUAACACGUGGGUAACCUGCCCUUUGAUGGGGAAUAACCCCGCGAAAGCGGGGCUAAUUCCGCAUAAGAUCCGCAAGGAUGAAAGCCGUAAGGCGUCGAAGGAGGGGCCUGCGCACGAUUAGCUAGUUGGUAGGGUAACGGCCUACCAAGGCUUUGAUCGUUAGCUGGUCUGAGAGGAUGGCCAGCCACACUGGAACUGAGACACGGUCCAAACUCCUACGGGAGGCAGCAGUGGGGAAUCUUGCACAAUGGGCGAAAGCCUGAUGCAGCGACGCCGCGUGGGGGAUGAAGCUUCUCGGAGUGUAAACCCCUUUCGACCCGGACGAAUACCUCGCAAGAGGGGUGACGGUACGGGUAUAAGAAGCCCCGGCUAACUACGUGCCAGCAGCCGCGGUAAGACGUGGGGGGCCAGCGUUGCUCGGAAUUACUGGGUGUAAAGGGUCAGUAGGCGGUGUGGCAAGUCGGGAGUGAAAUCUCUGGGCUUAACUCAGAGACUGCUUCCGAAACUGCUGUGCUUGAGUAUGGGAGAGGCGCGUGGAAUUGCAGGUGUAGCGGUGAGAUGCGUAGAUAUCUGCAGGAACACCCGUGGCGAAAGCGGCGCGCUGGACCAUAACUGACGCUGAAUGACGAAAGCUAGGGGAGCAAACAGGAUUAGAUACCCUGGUAGUCCUAGCCCUAAACGAUCAGGACUUGGGGUGCCACCCGUUCGGGUGUCGUCCCGGAGCUAACGCGUUAAGUCCUGCACCUGGGGAGUACGGUCGCAAGACUGAAACUCAAAGGAAUUGACGGGGGCCCGCACAAGCGGUGGAACAUGUGGUUCAAUUCGA